GGGGGCGUAAAGGUUUCGACGGGGAUUUUGAAGUAUGAUAAGCGAGUAGAGCCGUGCAAUCUCUUAAAAGGCACAAAACGUUUAAAUAUAAACGCUAACGAAGAUACACUUUUGAUGGCUGCCUAAGCGCACCGUCCGUCUGCAUGAGAAGGACUGCGGUCUUGUGUCAGGCGUCGAUUAGCAGUGAACGAUUUCGGGCGAUGUUCGUAACCUGAAAUUGUACCACGAACUACCGUUUUCCUAAGUCUGUCUGUUGACGUGGGAAAAGGGGAAUCCUAAAAAACAGACUACACUCGUAGAAAGUUGUAUGGAUAGGUUUUCGGACACGAGUUCGACUCUCGUCGCCUCCACCA
rnacentral:tmRNA from 1 species